GAUGAACGCUGGCGGCGUGCCUAAUACAUGCAAGUCGAGCGAACAGAUAAGGAGCUUGCUCCUUUGACGUUAGCGGCGGACGGGUGAGUAACACGUGGGUAACCUACCUAUAAGACUGGGAUAACUCCGGGAAACCGGAGCUAAUACCGGAUAACAUUUGGAACCGCAUGGUUCUAAAGUGAAAGAUGGUUUUGCUAUCACUUAUAGAUGGACCCGCGCCGUAUUAGCUAGUUGGUAAGGUAACGGCUUACCAAGGCGACGAUACGUAGCCGACCUGAGAGGGUGAUCGGCCACACUGGAACUGAGACACGGUCCAGACUCCUACGGGAGGCAGCAGUAGGGAAUCUUCCGCAAUGGGCGAAAGCCUGACGGAGCAACGCCGCGUGAGUGAUGAAGGGUUUCGGCUCGUAAAACUCUGUUAUUAGGGAAGAACAAAUGUGUAAGUAACUGUGCACGUCUUGACGGUACCUAAUCAGAAAGCCACGGCUAACUACGUG
rnacentral:rRNA from 1 species